UUUUUUUUUUUUUUUUUUUUUUUUGAGACAGAGUCUCGCUCUGUUGCCAGGCUGGAGUGCAGUGGCGUGAUCUCGGCUCACUGCAACCUCCGCCUCCCGGGUUCAAGCUAUUCUCCUGCCUCAGCCUCCCAAGUAGCUGAAACUACAGGCGCACACCACCACGCCUGGCUAAUUUUUGUAUUUUUAGUAGAGACGGGGUUUCGCCAUAUUGGCCAGGCUGGUCUUGAACUCCUGACCUCGUGAUCCACCCUCCUCGGCCUCCCAAAGUGCUGGGAUUACAGGCGUGAGCCACUGCGCCCGACCUGUAAUUUUUCUUUUCUGUUUUUUAGAGACAGGGUCUCGCUCUGUCACCCAGGCUAGAGUUCAGUGGCGCUGUCGGCUCACUGCAGCCUCCAACUCCUGGGCUCAAGUGCUGCUGCCAUCUCAGCCUCCUCAGUAGCUGGGACUACAGGUACACGCCACCACGCCCAACAGUGACAGGUUGGACACUACUGUACUGCCACGCUGGGUCGGGCAUACUAAUAAGCCCAGGGAAGAAGAGUCAGACCCAGUGCCAGCGCAGGGGAAACGCAUCUAAUCCAGAACAGCAGACACAGCUCCUCUCCCAUGGAACACCCAGAGCAGACAUUGCCAGUCGAUCCCAGCACCCUUUCCCCGGGAGCCUGGGCUCAGCCUCAAGACUUUGCUUCCGCUUCACAAAGCUCUGCACAGCCAGUUCUCAUCAAUUGGAGUUGGUCCAAAAUAUGGAAACUCUUUGCUCUGCCUGACCCAAACCAUUCCUCUUUCCCAUAACAAUUCUGACAUUUAAAAACAGCAGAAUUCCCCAACACUCAUCCCCGGGAAAAGAAAUUUGGCAUUGUUGGUACUUUCAACUCCUGACCCUGGUCAGCUGUUGAGUCAACUUGUGGUUGAGUCUGAGCCCCAUUUCUGCAGACAGAAAGACCGCAUUUGCGUUUCUGAGUCUCAGGUUUAGGAUGAAUUUUGUAUAGUCACUGUAACAAAUUACUGCAAACGUAGUGGCUUAAAAUAAAACAAAUCCAUUAGCUUACAA